rnacentral:rRNA from 1 species
UGGGGAAUAUUGGACAAUGGGCGAAAGCCUGAUCCAGCCAUGCCGCGUGUGUGAAGAAGGCCUUUUGGUUGUAAAGCACUUUAAGCGAGGAGGAGGCUACUUGGAUUAAUACUCUAGGAUAGUGGACGUUACUCGCAGAAUAAGCACCGGCUAACUCUGUGCCAGCAGCCGCGGUAAUACAGAGGGUGCGAGCGUUAAUUGGAUUUACUGGGCGUAAAGCGUGCGUAGGCGGCUUCUUAAGUCGGAUGUGAAAUCCCUGAGCUUAACUUAGGAAUUGCAUUCGAUACUGGGAAGCUAGAGUAUGGGAGAGGAUGGUAGAAUUCCAGGUGUAGCGGUGAAAUGCGUAGAGAUCUGGAGGAAUACCGAUGGCGAAGGCAGCCAUCUGGCCUAAUACUGACGCUGAGGUACGAAAGCAUGGGGAGCAAACAGG